rnacentral:rRNA from 1 species
AUUGAACGCUGGCGGCAUGCUUUACACAUGCAGGUCGAACGGUAACAGGCCGCAAGGUGCUGACGAGUGGCGAACGGGUGAGUAAUGCAUCGGAACGUGCCCAGUCGUGGGGGAUAACGCAGCGAAAGCUGCGCUAAUACCGCAUACGAUCUAUGGAUGAAAGCGGGGGACCGGAAGGCCUCGCGCGAUUGGAGCGGGCGAUGUCAGAUUAGGUAGUUGGUGGGGUAAAGACUCACCAAGCCAACGAUCUGUAGCUGGUCUGAGAGGACGACCAGCCACACUGGGAAUGAGACACGGCCCAGACUCCUACGGGAGGCAGCAGUGGGGAAUUUUGGACAAUGGGCGCAAGCCUGAUCCAGCAAUGCCGCGUGCAGGAAGAAGGCCUUCGGGUUGUAAACUGCUUUUGUACGGAACGAAACGGUCCUGGUUAAUACCUGGGGCUAAUGACGGUACCGUAAGAAUAAGCACCGGCUAACUACGUGCCAGCCGCCGCCGUAAUAC